rnacentral:misc_RNA from 1 species
GAUGAAGAACGUAGUAAAAUGCGAUACUUGGUGUGAAUUGCAGAAUCCCGUGAACCAUCGAGUUUUUGAACGCAAGUUGCGCCCGAAGCCUUUUGGCCGAGGGCACGUCUGCCUGGGCGUCACGCAUCGCGUCGCCCCCCACAAUUCUCCGUAAAGGGAACGUGUGUUUUGGGGGCGGAUAUUGGUCUCCCGUGCUCAUGGCGUGGUUGGCCGAAAUAGGAGUCCUUUCGAUGGACGCACGAACUAGUGGUGGUCGUAAAAACCCUCGUCUUUUGUUUCGUGCUGUUGCUCGCAAGGUAAACUCUUUAAAAACCCCAAUGUGUCGUCUCUUGACGACGCUUCGACUGCGACCCCAGGUCAGGCGGGACUACCCGCUGAGUUUAAGCAUAUCAAUAAGCGGAGGA